CGUCAAUAAAUGCCACACCUCACACUUUUCUGUAUUAAAUUCCGUCAACCAUUCCUCCGCCAACCUGGCCAAUCGAUCUAGAUCCCGCUGCAACCUUUCACAACCAUUGUACUAACUGCAAAACUACUAACUUUUGUAUCUUCAGCAAACUUGCUGAUCAUGCCCUGUAUGUUCUCAUCCAAAUCAUUGAUGGAGAUGACUAACAGUAACGGGCCCAGCACCGAAUCCUGAGGCACACCACCAGUCACAGGCCUCGAGUCUGAGUAGUGACUUUCCACCAUCACACUCUGCCUCCUUCCAUGGUGCCAAUGUUCUAUCCGUUCAGCAAUCUCUACUUGGAUCCCAUGCAAUCUAACCUUCCAGAGCAGCCAACCAUGCGGAACCUUGCCGAACGUCUGACUGAAGUCCAUGUACACAACAUCUACAGCUCUGCCCUCAUCAACCUUUUUGGUCAAGUCUUCAGCAAAAACCAAUAGAUUUGUGAGAUACGACCUCCCACGUACAAAACCAUGCUGACUAUCCCUAAUCACCCCUUGCCCAUCCAAAUGUCUGUAUAACCUAUCCCUCCGAAUAUUCCCCAGCUACUAACCGCUACAGAUGUUAAACUCCACUAGAAAUGUUAAACUAAACUAACCACUACAGAUGUGAAACAUAUUUUCUAUGUUUCUAUGUAACUCACCAGAUGACGCCAGAUGAGAUGGUAACGUUCUGACAUGUGCCAAUGAUGCCGACAUGACAAGAUGGAAAUGAAGAUGCAACAGACCAAUGGUGGACAGAAAGCAGCUCAGGCCCUGAGAUUUGUUUCACAUUAACCCCAUGCCAUUUAUGUUGUACACAGAAAACUAGCAGAUGAUUGUAGAAUGGCGACAUCACUCGACCGAAACCCCAUUGUAUCAGGCCAAGAAAUGGUGGGCAGAAAGCAGUUUAGGCCUUGAGAUGUAUUCUCCAUCAAUUCAAUCCAAUUAUUUUGUGACCGGCAAACUAGCAGGUAAGUGAACGGAACGGUACCGUGUCCGAAUCCUCAAAAACUCUGACAUGUCGAGAUUACCGUUUAUAUAUAGUGUUGGACCGAACCUUUUCCAAAGCAGCUCAUUCCCACCCAAUGGGAUUUAUACUGAAUCACUCGUGUGACCUUCAACAUUACCUGGUGGCCUUUGACACUGUUACCGAACGUGUCACUCACUGACGUUGAUGAUUUACUGAGAGGGGGACCGCCCACCGCCAGCAGGCACAGUGAUGAUGAGCGGUCAAAACAUGGUGGGAGAUACGACAAGGAAAACAAUGCAAAUACUGUUCUCCUGUAGAGGUCGAGUGGCGGAAUAUUAGAAUCAAGGAACUUGAAGAAAACCGAACGAGACCGUUUGGACAUCGGUUGGCAAUGGUUCAAAAUAUGAAUCCACCUGAAUCGACCUUCCAGAUCUGUGUCCAUGGCCCCGGGGCAGGGGAUGGAAGUGAGAUAUUCUGAGUUGUUGAGAUGCUGGUCCAUGGAUUGUUUUGGGCCGAACCUUCUUCAAGGCAACUCAAACCCGCCCAUUGAAUUUGAUACCGAGUCACUCUGGUUUCCGUUAAUUUUACCUGAUGGCCUUUCACAUUGAUACCGAGUCUGUCAGUCAGUGAUGCUGUGGGCUAACUUAGUGGAGAACCACCCGCCGCCCUCAUGCACAGGGGUGAAGAGUGUGUCAUUCCAUCAAUAAUAUCCCAUCGUGCGUCAUGCUAUCAGUUCUACCCCAUUGUGGAUCACUCCAUCAGUACUGCACAACAAUGUGUCCGUCAAUUAGUACUACCCCACAAUUUGUCCCUCCGUGACUACUCCUGUGCGGAUGGGAUAUCGAAGGACGAGAAGUCGAAGCCAAUAAAUGGAAGCUAGGGUACCGAACGGACACCAUGCCGAAAGGAUACCAAACAGAACGGGUAUGACG